rnacentral:rRNA from 1 species
UUUCUUCGGAGAGUUUGAUCCUGGCUCAGGAUGAACGCUGGCGGCGUGCCUAAUACAUGCAAGUCGAGCGAACUGAUUAGAAGCUUGCUUCUAUGACGUUAGCGGCGGACGGGUGAGUAACACGUGGGCAACCUGCCUGUAAGACUGGGAUAACUUCGGGAAACCGAAGCUAAUACCGGAUAGGAUCUUCUCCUUCAUGGGAGAUGAUUGAAAGAUGGUUUCGGCUAUCACUUACAGAUGGGCCCGCGGUGCAUUAGCUAGUUGGUGAGGUAACGGCUCACCAAGGCAACGAUGCAUAGCC